ensembl:lncRNA
AUGAAAAAUGUCUCAUCUUAUCCCACUCUUCCUAUAGGAGCAGAGGAGAAGCAAACUGUGAAGGCCCGGCUCCUGUCUUCACAGAUGCUUCUAGUGGAUGCCCUCUAUCACCUGGGCCCUCUGCUCGACAGUGUUAUAUCUGUAGGGCUGCUCUCUAGAGAAAACUGUUAUGAAAUUGAAGCUGAGCGAACGCCGCCCAACAAAGUCCGAAAACUUCUAGAGAUUGUUGACGCACAGAUGGACGAAAGUGGUGCCUCUAGUUUCAUGGAGUGUCUGAGGAAAGUCAAGAAACAUUACCCGCGUCUACGAACCUGGCUGACCUCAGAAGAAGAUCACUCCGAACCACCAGGCAUUAAGCAAGGUCCAACAGAAUGUCAGCUACAGGCCCAGUUUAAUGUUCUGUGCUCACGCUUGGGCUGUUCUGUCCUGCCGGUCUCCUACGAUCUCUUCUCCAGAGGCAUUCUGACUCAGCUGGAGCUGGAGAAAAUCCAAGCAAUACUCAUCCCAACCCAGCAAGCACAGACUCUGCUGUCCAUCUGCCUGAAGAAAGGAGAAAAAGCAUGCACAAGCUUUUACACAGCGCUACAGAAUGAGGACGAGCAACUUGCUGAGGAACUUAAUAGUCAGUACAACUUUCCUGGCAGAAUCUGGAAUGGAGAUGCAUGCAGUAUUAUAAUAUAAAUGCAUGUAAUAUUGUACACUACUGGUCAAAUGUUUGAAAUAAUUAAGAUUUUUAAAUGUUUUUGAAAGAAGUCUCUUUUGCUCAUCAAGACUGCAUUUAUUUGAUGAAAAAUAUAACAAAUAUUAUGAUAUAUUAUUACAGUUUCAAGUAACUGUUUUCCAUUUUAAUAUAUUUUAAAAUGUAAUUUAUUCCUGUGAUGGCAAAGCUGAAUUUUCUGCAGCCAUUACUCCAGUCUGAAGUGUAACAUGAUCCUUCAGAAAUCAUUAGAAUAUGCUGAUUUGGAAAUUAUUAUUGGUGCUAUGGCUCUUAUUAUUAUUGUCAUUGUAGAAAUUUUGCUGCUUAUUAUUUUUGUGGAAAAUAUUUUUAGGAUUCUUUGAUGAAUACAAAGUUCAAUGAACAGUAAUUAUUUGAAAUAGAAAAGUUGUAACAUUAAAAUGCCUUAACUGUCACUUUGAUUAAUUUAUUAAAAGUGUUCUUUUUUUUGUACCUCAAACUUUUUUAUGGUAGUGUAUCAAGUUUCCACAAACAAUAUUACCACAGAAAAGUAAUAAACAUCAGUUAGAACUCCUAAUAUUGUUUCAGCCAGAAAUUCAGCCACCUGAAAUAUGAUAUUUUCUUUGCAAUCUUCUCAUUUUUCAGUAAAGAGCUUGGUGGAAGACCUUAAUAAAGAGCCUGAAGGCAGCAUUGUGCCGAUAGCAGUGGAGGAAACUAGAGCUCACUUGAGAGCAGCUUUACCUCUGUCAGGUAGUUCACAUUUCAACAUUAUACUCAUUUUGUUGAAAACUAUGAGAGAGAAAUAUUUAUGGCUGGUAAAUUUGCUCAAAGCUAAAAAAUAAUUUUGGUUUCCAGAAUUCAUCUAAGAUCUAAGCUUUCUGAACUGAUGUUGUCCAUGUCUGAUUUUCCAUCAGGAGGCCUGCAGCAGGUCAUGACUCAGCUGGGCUUGACUGUGGGGGAUGAGAUUAGGUUUAAUGUCUGUGAGGUUGGUGUUGCGGUGGGUUUGCCGCGUCGGACCGUCAGAGAGUACCUUCUGGAAGGGGUUGGCAUUGAAGACUCGGCCCAGCUGGAGGCCCUAGUGUCGCUGUAUAUAGAGAAGACACAGGACGCUGACAGACUACUGAGCAGAGUGGCAGAACUCAGCCCUCGGUGUAAGUGAAGGCCAAAGACUCUGUUUAAUAAGUUAUUCUUUUUUGUGUUGUUGUUGUAAAUCGUUGUUCAGUAGAGCGCAUCUUUAACAGAACUGAAGGUUGCAUUUCUGCUUCCUUUCUCUGGAUUAAAUAAAGAAUAUUUUAUCCUUAGAAAGGCCUAAUCAUAAUUGUUCAUUGACAUGACACAUUUUUUUUUGUCCAAAUCUAUUUAUUUAAAAGGUGCCUCUUUUAUGAUAUAUUUCCAAAUAAAUUCUAAAAUAAAAUAAUUUUAAAAAUCUUGUGAUGUUACCUACAUGCAUAAAUAUACAUUAUAAAAAUAUAUUUUAAAUAAUAUAAAAACAAAAUAUACUUUUUACCUUAUAAAAUACACUACCGUUCUAAAGUAUGGGGUCAGUAUGAUUUUUUUUUUUUUAAAUGAAAUUAAUAAUUUUAAGCAGAGUUAG